UGGUGGAGGAUUAAGUUCAGCUAGGAGAGCAAUUCAUUUGUUUUUCAUCCUUUUUAUUACAGAAUUGGACAUUUUGGUUAUGUGACAAAAAUAAAUAUCGGGCGUAGGAUAUAAUAUCUCUUAAGACCUGUUUGGUUGCCUGAGCUUAAAAUCGUAUAGGAUUUAUUGGAUUGGGCCAGUGUAAUUUGGAAAAUCAGCCUAAGCUAAGUUUGUUUAGAU
rnacentral:lncRNA from 1 species